UAUGUAAAACCUUAUUCCUUAUUGCAAUGUUUUAAUAUACAGGCAGUAAUUGAGCAUAUUCCCUAUGGCUGCCACAUGUGUCUGGGUAGUCACUGUGAGAAAGUAAAUGCAGCAGGGAUAUGCUCAGAUAAACCUGAGAUUUUACCAUUAAUGAAGGAAAAAAUAAAUAAGCAAGGAAAAAAUGGUACUAUGAUCAUAGAAAAAAAAUAAGCAAUUGCUAUUGUGUACAGAGUUAUGGUAAAACAGCAGGAUAUGAGGGAAUGAAAAUAAAAGUCACAGAAAAAUAACAGCAGCAACUGAGAUACUAAUCUUAGAGUAUAGCAGCAAAGUAAAAUACAGAGACUGGCUUACCCCUAACAGGACUGUUAUAAUGAUAGUUGCAAACACCGGGUUGUAAUGGCGACUUGCCAGAGGGAGCAGGGAAGCUCAGUAGCAGCUGGCUGAUGACGUCACAGCAUGAGGAAGUGGAGCUCAGUGAAAAUUGAAUCCCAAGGCCGGUGAGCUGCAGGGGAAACUGAGUUAGAGGGGUCCUGGACAGGCCACUGAAAAAAGGCAUAAUCUGCCCCCUACCAGAAGAGAAUAUGGGUUGGUGGCCGCACCUUCAUACUGAAUUGGAAGGGGAGGAAGGUUUAUUAGAUGCUUCAGGGUGUGCAGAGAGGAAUUUGAAUAGAGCUGUCCAGAAACACAAUACAUGUUUCUUCCUUUGUAUCUCAUAAGUGUCCAGGACAACAUGCCUGCUAAAAAACUGGACUGUCCAAUAAAAUACUGGACACCUGGCAACCCUAUCCAAGGGUCAGAAGUUGAAUCCCAGGAAUAAUGGCUUGGAGUCUCUCACCACAUUAUGAAAGAAUAAAAAAAGUUGCCUCUAAUGUCCCUUUAACCCCUUCACUAUCGGGACUUUCAAAAAAGAACUUGCCCAAAAUACCACAGAAUGUUUAGCAUUUUUCUAUCACUCCAUCUAAACAGAAAUAGCGCCUUUGGUUUUUUUUUUAUUUACCUGUCCAAACUAUAUAUAUUUCUUUCCUAUGACAUGGAGAGUCCACAACGUCAUUCCAAUUAAUUAUGGGAUAUUCAAUUCCUGUCCAGCAGGAGAUGGCAAAGAGCACCCCAGCAAAGCUGUUAAGUGUAACUUCCCUUACCCAUAAUCCCGAGUCAUUCUCUUUGCCUCUGUCAAUGGAGGUUGUGCGAAGUUGGUGUCUGAAGAUAAUAAUCCUUUUAUGGGUACUUUCCCUGCAAGCAAGGAUUGGGGUCUAGCUGUGUCCAUGUCAAUCUUUUGAGUAAAGUAAGUGGUGGCUUUUAGCAGUUAGAAGACGGGGAUGAAGUCUUUGCUUUACUUCUAAUAUUUUGGUACCCCUUUGUAGAAAGCCAGGGUUAGUUACUCUUUUACUACAGGUUCAUGACGGGGACAGGAGUACCGUUCACACCUAAGUAGCUGUUACCUGCCCUGCAGCUGGAUCCACAGGUAAGUGCAUUUUCCUUCUAGGUUCUGAAGGAUAGCACUUUAGAGGUAAAACCUCUAGUGGAUCUAAUUUGGGACAUAGAUUAACUAAAUUGUCUUAGAUACUUUUUUGGGGCAGAUUUGCAGGCACAUUGUAUGCUUAACUCAGGCAUGUAGAGAGACUAAGGGGUUAAUAUUAAGCUGUGUGCUUAAGACUUAACCUUAUAUGACAAAAUGUAUUGGAAGGGUUUGUCCUUUAAGUGUUUAUUGUUAAAUACGUAUGGCAAGGGGCAGAUUUGUUUGAUUUGGAGUCCAGAAGAAUAUAUAGGCUGUUACGGUUACGAUAUGGUUUUUACUAUUGAGCCGUUUGUAAUACGUGCCUUUUUAACUGUGACUUGUGGCACAGUUUCUCUUUUACUCUCAGCCCGCUCACGUGACUCUCCGCUCUUCCGUAUGUAUGAGGAGCGGAGUUUAGUCAGUCAUUGAGCCUGGACUGCUGCGGCUAUCUUUUCUGAUGAUCGGAUUGCCGGUCUGAACUUGUGAAUCUCUCAUCUCACCUGGAGAGUUCCCUUGCUAGUGUAUUAUUCGACUCUCAGUAUGGUAAGAGCCUCAGACACUCUUAGGUUUUUUGUUAAAGUGAUAGGUGCCUUUUUUUAUCUUAUAUUUUUAAAAGUUUUCAAAGUUUUUUUCAGUUAAUUUAUUAGUUCUGUAUAUACUAUAAAUUUUAUUUUUAUUUUUUGUGGGAACUGAUAUCUGCAAUGGAAUGUGAAAAAGAUUCUUCUUUUAAAAUGGAUAAAUGUUUACUUUGCUGGAAGUCCUAAUUGUACUACCUAUGCAAUUUUGUUCCAAUUGCUUAGCUAAGACCUUAAAAUAUAAGGACAAACUAAUCCCUUGUGAACCUAAUGUCUUUCAGGAUAUGGCUGUUCUGGAAAUGCCUCAGCUUUCUCCUCAAACGUCCCAAGCCUUAUCAGUUUCACAUACAGUGCCUUACAUGUCCCCUCAACCUCCUGGGGCUGUUUAUUUGCCAGGGGAUUUUGUUGUGCAGAUAACUUCUGCGGUAUCAGCGGCUUUGUCUCCAGCAGUGCAUUGCUGCUCCUUCAACAAAUUAUACCAAGAGAAUGAAGCAAAUUUGAUAAUAGAAGUAAAUUGAAGUUGUUUAAAAUUGUAUGUUCUACCUAAAUCAUGAAAUAACUUUUUUUGGGUUUCAUGUCCCUUUAAGUAAAGGAAACAUGUUAAAGCAUAUUUAUGCAAUAUUGAUAUUUAAUAAAGUGUUAUACUGUG